rnacentral:rRNA from 1 species
GUGCACCAGGCGAGAAUUUUUCUCAAUGGGCGCAAGCCUGAAGGAGCGACGCCGCGUGGGGGAUGAAGGGUUUCGAUCCGUAAACCCCUGUCAUUUGCGAACAAACCCUGAGGUUUAAGAGAUAUCAGGCUGAUUGUAGCGAAAGAGGAAGGGACGGCUAACUCUGUGCCAGCAGCCGCGGUAAUACAGAGGUCCCAAGCGUUGUUCGGAUUCACUGGGCGUAAAGGGUGCGUAGGUGGCUUGGUAAGUUUGAUGUGAAAUCUCCGGGCUUAACCCGGAAAUGGCAUUGAAUACUAUUGAGCUGGAGGUUUGGAGGGGGACUGGAAUUCUCGGUGUAGCAGUGAAAUGCGUAGAUAUCGAGAGGAACACCAGUGGCGAAGGCGAGUCCCUGGACAACACCUGACACUGAGGCACGAAAGCUAGGGAGCAAACAGGAUUAGAUACCCGUGUAGU